UGGGGAAUAUUGCGCAAUGGCCGCAAGGCUGACGCAGCGACGCCGCGUGUGGGAGGAAGCCCUUCGGGGUGUAAACCACUGUCAGGGGGGACGAACCCCGGACGGGCGAACAGCCCGGACGGCUGACGGUACCUCCAGAGGAAGCACCGGCUAACUCCGUGCCAGCAGCCGCGGUAAGACGGAGGGUGCAAGCGUUGUUCGGAAUUACUGGGCGUAAAGCGCGGGCAGGUGGUCCCUUAAGUCCCUUGUGAAAUUCCGGGGCUCAACUCCGGAUGUGCGUGGGAUACUGGGGGACUGGAGACUGGUAGAGGCGAGCGGAAUUCCUGGUGUAGCGGUGGAAUGCGUAGAUAUCAGGAAGAACACCGGUGGCGAAGGCGGCUCGCUGGGCCAGUUCUGACACUCAUCCGCGAAAGCGUGGGGAGCAAACAGGAUUAGAUACCCCCGUAGUCC
rnacentral:rRNA from 1 species